UACGUAGGUGGCAAGCGUUGUCCGGAUUUACUGGGCGUAAAGGGCGUGCAGGCGGUCUGUUAAGUUCAGGGUGAAAGCUCCCGGCUCAACUGGGAGAGGUCCUUGGAUACUGGCAGACUUGAGGGAGGUAGAGGAGAGUGGAAUUCCCGGUGUAGCGGUGAAAUGCGCAGAUAUCGGGAGGAACACCUAUGGCGAAGGCAGCUCGCUGGGACGUUACUGACGCUGAGACGCGAAAGCGUGGGGAGCAAACAGG
rnacentral:rRNA from 1 species